rnacentral:lncRNA from 12 species
GGGGGGGGGGGGGGGGGGGGGGGGGGGGGGGGGCGCUCUUCCGAUCUCGGCGCUCCGCACCGGGCCCGCCCGCGGGAACGGGCGGGCGGCCGGCUAUCGCGAGCCCACCGAGGCGCCGGCGGCGCUGCGGUAUCGCUACGUCUAGGCGGGAUUCUGACUUAGAGGCGUUCAGUCAUUAGCCCGCAGAUGGUAGCUUCGCACCAGUGGCUCCACAGCCAAGGGCAAGCACCAGGGGUCUGAACCUGCGGUUCCUCUCGUACUGAGCAGGAUUACUGUUGCAAAAACACAUAAUCAGGAGUGUAAAACUAACCUGUCUCACGGCGGUCUAAACCCAACUCACGUUCCCUAUUAGUGGGUGAACAAUCCAAUGCUUGCUGAAUUCUGCUUCUACUAAGAAAUCGCCGCAUGAUACAAAACGCGAAGAAGGAAGCGGCAGAGCACCAGAGUCCUCAGCGCACCAUACCGGUUUUAAGUGUCUUCUGGUAAGAAGGAUUAUCAUCGUCAGCUUCUUUUGUUA